rnacentral:lncRNA from 1 species
GAUGCAUUAUUUUUCCUCCUCUUCCAUUUAAAGGUGACAAUGGAUCGGGUUGGCUUGGGCUUUGGAUUAAGAGAAUAUAAAAUAUUGGUACUACUUCGGUAUCAUGAUACAAGUUCAUCCUUAGCCAACCUAUCUAGUUCAUAUCUAUUGGGAGGUUAGAUUAUUAGAUAUAUGUCUUAAAAGUCAAUAUGACUAACACAUUAUAAUAAAUUUAGGACACAAUUUUAUACUUAAUACACUGAUUUGAUCAAUAAAAUGAUAAAUUUAUUUUUCAUUCAAGUGUGAUGUAUCUUUGAAUCGUCCA